rnacentral:rRNA from 1 species
AUCAACUGUUUAAAGAUGGUUCUGCUAUCACUCUUGGGAUGGACCUGCGGUGCAUUAGCUAGUUGGUAGGGGUAACGGGCCUACCCAAGGCGAUGAUGCAUAGCCCGAGUUGAGAGACUGAUCGGGCCACAUUGGGACUGAGACACGGGCCAAAACUCCUACGGGAGGCAGCAGUAGGGAAUCUUCCACAAUGGACGCAAGUCUGAUGGAGCAACGCCGCGUGAGUGAAGAAGGGUUUCGGCUCGUAAAGCUCUGUUGUUGGUGAAGAAGGACAGGGGUAGUAACUGACCUUUGUUUGACGGUAAUCAAUUAGAAAGUCACGGCUAACUACGUGCCAGUAGCCGCGGUAAU